rnacentral:rRNA from 1 species
GUGGGGAAUAUUGGGCAAUGGGGGAAACCCUGACCCAGCGACGCCGCGUGAGGGAAGAAGGCCUUAGGGUCGUAAACCUCUGUUGUGUGGGAAGAAGAGCGUGACGGUACCACACGAGGAAGUCCGGGCUAACUACGUGCCAGCAGCCGCGGUAAUACGUAGGGGACGAGCGUUGUCCGGAUUUACUGGGCGUAAAGGGCGCGUAGGCGGUCAUUUAAGUCAGCUGUGAAAUGGUUUGGCUUAACCGGAUCAUGCGGUUGAAACUGGAUGACUGGAGUGCUGGAGAGGCAAGUGGAAUUCCCAGUGUAGCGGUGAAAUGCGUAGAUAUUGGGAAGAACACCGGUGGCGAAGGCGACUUGCUGGCCAGCAACUGACGCUGAGGCGCGAAAGCCAGGGGAGCAAACGGGAUUAGAAACCCGGGUAGUCC